rfam:Triticum urartu cultivar G1812 contig487132, whole genome shotgun sequence.
GAUGCCAUGAUUAUCCAUAUAGGUUUUUGGCAGUGGUGGCUGCUAUCACCGUGAGCCUUCAAACCAAAAAACUACUUCUCUUUCCAGUGAGCAUU